AUGCUUAGGAAUCUGCCUAUUAGUGGGGGACAACAUCUCGAAAGGGAUGCUAAUACCGCAUACGUCCUACGGGAGAAAGCAGGGGAUCUUCGGACCUUGCGCUAAUAGAUGAGCCUAAGUCGGAUUAGCUAGUUGGUGGGGUAAAGGCCUACCAAGGCGACGAUCUGUAGCGGGUCUGAGAGGAUGAUCCGCCACACUGGGACUGAGACACGGCCCAGACUCCUACGGGAGGCAGCAGUGGGGAAUAUUGGACAAUGGGGGGAACCCUGAUCCAGCCAUGCCGCGUGUGUGAAGAAGGCCUUAUGGUUGUAAAGCACU
rnacentral:rRNA from 1 species